rnacentral:rRNA from 1 species
GACGAACGCUGGCGGCGUGCUUAACACAUGCAAGUCGAACAGAGAGGCCCUGCUUUUGUGGGGUGCUCGAGUGGCGAACGGGUGAGUAACACGUGAGUAGCCUGCCCUUGACUGUGGGAUAACUUCUGGAAACUGGGGCUAUUAUCCGAUAUGAGCUCCUGCUGCAUGGGGGUGAUGGGUAAGUUUCGGCGGUUUGGCAUGGACUGGUGGCUUAUCAGCUUGUUGGUGGGGUAGUGGAUUACCAAUGCUUCGACGGGUUGCCGGCCUGCGAGGGUGACCGGCCACAAUGGGCCUGGGGUGGGACCCGGACGCCUACGGGGGGGAGAGGUGAGAGACAUUCCGCGAUGGGCCGCAGCAUGAUGCAGGAACGCCGCGUGCGAGAUCACGGCCUUCGGAUUGUAAACCGGUUUCGCCUGUAACGAAGCGUGUGUGACGGUAAUGAGUAAAAAAGCAACGGCUAACUACGUG